rnacentral:rRNA from 1 species
UACGAAGGGGGCUAGCGUUGCUCGGAAUCACUGGGCGUAAAGGGUGCGUAGGCGGGUCUUUAAGUCAGGGGUGAAAUCCUGGAGCUCAACUCCAGAACUGCCUUUGAUACUGAAGAUCUUGAGUUCGGGAGAGGAGAGUGGAAUUCCCAGUGUAGAGGUGAAAUUCGUAGAUAUUGGGAAGAACACCGGUGGCGAAGGCGGCUCUCUGGGACCGAUACUGA